AUUGAACGCUGGCGGCAUGCCUAACACAUGCAAGUCGAACGGGGCAGCAAUGCCUAGUGGCGGACGGGUGAGGAAUACGUAGGAAUCUGCCCUUAAGUGGGGGAUAACCAGGGGAAACCCUGACUAAUACCGCAUGAUCUCUUCGGAGCAAAGAGGGGGACCGCAAGGCCUCUCGCUUCUGGAUGAGCCUACGUCUGAGUAGCUAGUUGGUAGGGUAAAGGCCUACCAAGGCGACGAUCAGUAACUGGUCUGAGAGGACGACCAGUCACACUGGGACUGAGACACGGCCCAGACUCCUACGGGAGGCAGCAGUGGGGAAUAUUGGACAAUGGGGGCAACCCUGAUCCAGCGAUGCCGCGUGAGUGAAGAAGGCCUUCGGGUCGUAAAGCUCUUUAGGUUGGGAAGAAGGGUAUUGGCUGAAUAAUCCAGUACUUUGACGGUACCGACAGAAUAAGCACCGGCAAACUCUGUGCCAGCCGCCGCAGUAAUAC
rnacentral:rRNA from 1 species